ACUAAAGCAACUCAACUUCAGCUACAUCAACAGGUCGACAAUCAAUCCACAUUGACAUAUUCCCAGCAAACUAGACACAGGGGGCUCUAAGGGGCGGGUCACACCCACUCACCACGAGCCAGGGUGGCGUCACUGCUGCAGCACGCGGCGUCGCCAUAGAGACCGCCACAGCGACACUGCCGUGGUGACAUCAUAUCCGUGUCCUACGAUUCUAGAGGAGAGAAGACCGUCAUCACGUCCUUUUACGUCAAUAGCAGAUAAGCAUCAGAGUGCUGGAUGCAGCAUUCCCAAAUCCAGGAAACGGCGAGCACCAUCCCGUCCUGUCUCUUCCUGAGCAGAAGGGCCAGGCUAAUGUUUUCCCACGCCCGGACUCCCUGUCAACCACAUCUAGGGGAACAUUAGCCAUUGCAUUGUUUUCUCCCCCCCCACUUUCACUUUCUGUCUCUCUCUCGCUCCCUCUCUGUCCUCACUCACUUCCUCUGCCUCUGUCGCUCUAGUCUUCUCUUUCAGUUUCAUUCUGUUGUCCUCUUUGUCCAUCCACCUCUCCUCCUAUCUCCAUAUCGCUCUUUCAUUUGAAGAGCACUUCAGCAUCCCCCAAGCUCUUCACAGAGGAAGUAUGGUUGGAGAGAGAAGCGAGAGAUGAAGAAUAAAGAAAAAGAGUGAGUCAGGGAUGAGACAUGAAAUUAAACCAUUAAAACGGUGGAGAACAAAUGGCCUUUCUGUCCAUCUAUCAAUUGCUCACGUGUGUGUGUGCAUUCAUGUGUACGAGUGUCCACCCCCUUUUAAAAGGUGCUCUAUGGUAAUCCAAGUAGAGGAGAUGACAUUUUCAUAGAAAUCUACAGCACAGUACAUUCUGAACACUGAUAAACACACAGUGCCUCCCUCCCACCCUCCCCUUUAUGAAUGAUAAACAGAAGAGAGGGAGGAGGAUGACAGAGGUGGGAGAGAGGAUGGGAGGGAGGGAGGAGGACAGGGGUGGGAGGGAGGAGGACCUGGGUUGGAGAGAUGGGUUGAGGGAAGGAGUGGAGGAGGGAGGGGAGGAGGACAGUGGUAGAGGGUGGUGGAGGAGGACUCCCACCCACCCACCCUCCACCCC
ensembl:lncRNA